UCUAAGUUUGAUGGCGACCGGCGCGCGGGUGAGUAACACGUAUCCAACCUGCCGAUGACUCGGGGAUAGCCUUUCGAAAGAAAGAUUAAUACCCGAUGGCAUAGUUCUUCCGCAUGGUGGAACUAUUAAAGAAUUUCGGUCAUCGAUGGGGAUGCGUUCCAUUAGGUUGUUGGCGGGGUAACGGCCCACCAAGCCUUCGAUGGAUAGGGGUUCUGAGAGGAAGGUCCCCCACAUUGGAACUGAGACACGGUCCAAACUCCUACGGGAGGCAGCAUG
rnacentral:rRNA from 1 species